CUACUUGAGAGUUCGAUGUGUACACUAUUUGGAGAAGCGUAAGAAUACCAAAGAAAUCCAUAUAAAAACCUAUGUUUUGGGGCUAGAAUUCAGUCAUGUUUAGAAACUAAACAACUUGCUCCUGGAUGAAUAUGCUGCCUGAUCCUGAGACCAAAACAACAUUGAAAAUAUCCAAGCUCCAUCAACUGUAACCUGGAAUUGAAUAAAUCUAUUGUGAGCUGGAUUAAGUCAAGCUCCAAACAACUGACCUACAGAGCGUCCUAGCCUUUCACAUGAGUUUUUGAAGGUACGUCCAGAAGUAUCAUACUGUUUGAAGGACCAAAACUUUGAUUUGUAUGCGUAAAGCCAUACAAUGAAAUAAAGUUUGGACACGAAAAGCCAACAUCUUCCAAAAGACAAACAAGUCAUCUUGAGCCCAGAUGCGGUGUAACUUCCCUGAUGAACAGUAAGGACCCGACUGUCUGGAUAACUGGGAAGAGUUAAAACUUCUCCAUUUGGCAAAUGAAGGAUU